rnacentral:rRNA from 1 species
UACGUAGGGGGCAAGCGUUGUCCGGAUUUAUUGGGCGUAAAGAGCGUGUAGGCGGCCAGGGAGGUCCGUUGUGAAAACUCGAGGCUCAACCUCGAGACGCCGAUGGAAACCCCCUGGCUAGAGUCCGGAAGAGGAGAGUGGAAUUCCUGGUGUAGCGGUGAAAUGCGCAGAUAUCGGAAGGAACACCAGUGGCGAAAGCGGCUUCCUGGUCCAGCACCGACGUUCAGGCACGAAAGCGUGGGGAGCAAACAGG